UACGUAGGGACCGAGCGUUGUCCGGAAUCAUUGGGCGUAAAGAGCGUGUAGGCGGCCUGACAGGUCUGCUGUGAAAACUCGAGGCUCAACCUCGAGAUGUCGGCGGAAACCGUCUGGCUAGAGUCCGGAAGAGGAGAGUGGAAUUCCUGGUGUAGCGGUGAAAUGCGCAGAUAUCAGGAAGAACACCUAUGGCGAAGGCAGCUCCCUGGGACGGUACUGACGCUGAGACGCGAAAGCGUGGGGAGCGAACAGG
rnacentral:rRNA from 1 species